GUUGGUUGUCUAUUACCAAUUCAUCUAAAACAGAAGAGUGCAAGCAAGUAGAAAAGCACUGUUUGUGCUAUGUUAUGGUGUUCUGAUGCAUACUUUUCAUCACAUGACAAGAAAGUCCUCUAUGCUUGGAAGAAAAGUAAAGAAGGAGCUACUCUACCUAUUUGUACUUCAUUUCACCAGUAUUGAGUAGAAUAUUACUCAUUCUAGGUUUCACAUGCUACCAAGUCUUUGGAAUAAUGAGAAAUCUCUGGGAGUACUUGCUCUGCAUUCAACAAAUAUAAAUUGUAGCUUUUAAUGUUCCAGGAAGUAUGCUAGACACUAAACAAAACUAUGCUAGACAUUGAACAAAACAGAAGUAGAACACCUGUCAUGGGGCUUACAAAUCAAACUCAAAUACUGUAGGGUUUUGAAACUUUAACAAUAAAUACAAUAACAGCAGCAAGAAAAAUACACUCCAAAUAUUAUGGAUUCAUUUUAGCCAUAUUUAAAGUGAAUAAAGAAGGUAUUUCAAAACCAAUAUAAGCCAUAUCUAUGAAGAAUCAUCUAACUGUAACUAUUUUUCACUAUGAAAUAAAUGCCAAGUUUUCUUGACCCAGAACUAAGGAACUAACCAAAUAUUAUCUCAUCAUGGGAGAAGAUACUGAGAGAUAUUGGAAACAGUUCUAGUUCUUGUUGCCCAGAAGGGAGUUGAUAUACAACCGAAAGCAAGGAAGCAAAAUGAAGAACAUAGGCAGUGCUCAUCUUUCAGGAGGCUUGAGCUCCAAAGUCUAUUUAUAAAUCAGUUGUUUAAAAUGUAGUUUUGCAAAUCAUACUUAUAUUUUGCAGUAGGCACAAAAGGCUCUUUAACACACAAUAUAACUGAAUACUAUUCAAUUACAAUAACAUCAGAAAGUGAGGUUGCCAACAUACACGGUAUUGUAGCUACAAAUAUUUCCUUGCACCCUGAGCUCCUGGGAUAUUGUCUCAGUGAAGGCACAUGGACCCCAAGGCCUAAUUUCACCUAUCUGUGCUCAAUGGAUACUUUACUUUCUGAUGGGAAGGAAUAAGGAGAGAAAACACAACACUGGUAGCCUUAUGAGAAAAGCAGUAAAAAAUAAAUUUAUAUCAUUACCAUUGUGCUUUCACUAUUUUUAUCCACUCAUACAUUCACCAAAUAUUGGUUGAGUGCCUACCACUGCCAGCCAUGGCUCUGUGUGCUGAAGCUAUAUGUCAGUGAUCAAAAAAAAAAAAAAAAAAAAAAAAAAAGAAAUGCUUCUGCUCUCACAAAACUCACACCUACUGGAGGAAGCAAACAAGAAAUGACUUUUUUUAAAAGCAGGAAAAAAAAAACUAAUUCUAGGCAAAGUGAUGACAAUUUUAAGAAAGAAAACAAGGCACGGUAAGAAUGGCAGUUUUAUUAGACAGAAUGGUUAGGGAAUGUGUCUCUGAAAAAGUAAUGCUUAAAGAGAGAACACAAAAGAAACAACACAUGUGGAUAUCUGAAGGAAGGGUGUUCCAUGAAAAGGGAACAGAAAGUGCAAAAACAUGCAGAAAGGUUGCUGGGACAGCAAGAAAGCCAUGAAGGUGAGCAAGAGAGAACGGCCAUUUACCAAAAUGUGAACAGUGGCCGAUUACCUGACACUUCAUGGGCCAUGGAAAGACUUUGGCUUUUAUUUUUAAAUAAAUGGGGAUCCACCAAUGGUUUUAA